rfam:Hordeum vulgare subsp. vulgare, WGS project CAJW01000000 data, contig: morex_contig_417024
UAACUACUCCCUCCGUCCCAAAAAAUUUGUCUUAGGUUUGUCUAAAAAUGAAUGUAUCCAAAUACUAAAACGUGAAAAGAUACAUUCAUAUAUAAACAAAUGUAAGACAAGAAUUUUGAGACAGAGGGAGUACUUU